rnacentral:misc_RNA from 1 species
GUGAAUCAUCAAAUUUUUGAACGCAAAUUGCACUCUCUGGUAUUCCGGAGAGUAUGCCUGUUUGAGGGUCAGUUUAAAUAAAAAUCGGUGUGGUUGCUGUGUUUCGUGGUGACGCAACGGAUCUGGGUUGUCUCGUUUUCGGUUAAGUGAUAUAAAAUUUUGCAUGAUUUUUUUUGAACGUAUUUAAAUGAAUUUACGUACGUUUGCGAUAUCGAAUACUUGGUGUGGUUAUCUUCAUGAUUGGCGACGAUAAUUUUUCA